CCCUAUGCCUGCCCGUGUCUCUGCCAUCUACCGUCCAUGUCUCUCUCUCGACUCUCGGGGCGUCGCCGCUCGUUGGCGCCGCCGCCCCGCGCCACCACGCCCUCACCUGGUGCGCCCGAUCUCCCGACUCUCUCUCUCUCUCUCUCUCUCUCUCUCUCUCUCUCUCGCCUCUCGGGGGAGUCCGAGCGCCACCGGCCCCCUCGCCAUUCUCCGGCCACCGACGCCACCGCCCGCUGGCGCCGCUGCGCCACCACGGUCCUCGCCUGUUUGUGCUCGCAGGUGUUCCGAGAGGAUGGGCAGAUGGGCAUGGGCGGGAACGAGGAGAAGGACUGGGCCCACUGCGUGGAGGUGCUGCCCUCGCCCGACUCCCAGUCGGCGGAGUAUUCCGAUAACAAGAAUUCGAACGGUUGCCGGUGGCUCGUUGCAGCAGUGAAGGCAACGAGGAGCCUGCGAAUAUGCCGCCGCCGCCGCUUCCAUGUGUAGCAAGACGAUUUGAUCCGUCUAUUGAUGAAAUCUGGUGAUCAUGAACUUUGUCUAUCUUGGCAGCGCAGCAGGGCUUGCUUCAACAUUUAAGUGGAUUUCCUAUUCAAAAUUAAUAUAUCAUAUCCAUUUCUGGACAGAAGUUAUCUUUAUCUUCCAAUUUGAGAAUUUGUCAACUAAUAGAGAAAGAGUACUUAUACAAAGUACAGUUUUCGAGAGUUUCUUUUUAAGGAAUGAAUAUAGAAAGAACCCUUCAAUUUAUAAUUUGAUAUUUGUACUAGAGGUAUCUUGUUGGACAAUAACCGGAGAAAGACAAGCAGCACGAAUCAGAGUCUUGUACCUCAAUGCGAUUCUGAGACAAGAUAUUGCAUUCUUUGACAUGGAUAUGAGCACUGGAAAAGUGGUUGAAAGGAUGGCAGGAGACACAUUCCUCAUUCAAGAUGCCAUUGGAGAAAAGCCACUAAUAGGAUCUGUUAUGGAGAAGCUUUCACAAUUUUGCCAUGUUCUGGUCGAGAACAUACUGAACAUCCGUGAUGUUCCAAAUUUAUGGCAUGUCCCACUUAUCCUUAGAGUAACUUCCACAAGAACCUUAACCUUGCGGUUUUCUAGAAAUAUACUAAGGCCCCGUUUGGAUCA